AUUUAACAGGAAUGAGUUCAUCAUUUUUAUUUUCCCUUAUCAUAUAAUCAGAGUCUUGGAGAACAUGGAGAGGGCACUCUAUUAAAGAGCACUUUAUACAAAUAUUAGACGUGGGUUUUUAUUUGUUUGCUCUAUUCAUCUUGUGGCAGUAAAUUCAUGCAUAGUCUCCAUGAAUCUGAUGCACAAAAAGCCAGAUCAUCCUAGUCAUACAAAAAUCCAGCAGCCAAAUGUUCCAAAAUCAACUUGUCCCACAUGAUACCUAUUUUUAGUGGUGUUUGAAGCUUCCUAUUAGAAGCCUCAACGUAAGGGUAUGAACAAAAGCAUGUGUUCAAAGAAUUUGGUGCAGUCAAACAUGGAAACUAAAGAAGGUAAAGCCAACUCAUGUUGACAUUGACUUGGAAAAAAGAAUAUUUGAUGGUUGGUUUUCAAACCAAUAGAGUUAGAUGGCAAUUCGAUGUACUAGCAGCCAAUAAAAACAUUGAUUCACCAAACUUUUCAUCGAGGGGCAUAUGACGCAUCAAGUCAAGCGCGAACACCGGAUACGACACAUAACAUGUGAACAAUGGUCAUCAUCAUUUAAGAAAAUAAAGUGAUUGAAUGUAACAAUAUGUGUGUCAAUGUGACACAUUUGAUCCGUGUCAGACAACAAAUAGUGUUACGUGUCAGACAACAAAUAAUGUUACGUAAGACACCUGACAUGCCUUUAAUGUGAAAGGUGUCAGACGACAAAUAGUGUUACGUAUUGUGUAAGACACCAGACAUGCCUUUAAUGUGAAAUGUCGGUGCUAAAUAUCAAAAUUAAAACUGAUGAGAAAAUACCUGUGAGUAUAAGAAGGUUCCAAAGACGGCAAUUGCGGCUCCGAGAGCAUUGACAGGCUGAAUUGGUGUGUGGAAGAUGAUAAUUGAAGAUACGAUGACAGAUAUACGUUUCAUGGUGUUUCCAAUGCUAAAUGUCAAAGGAGAGAUCUCAUCCAACGACAUGUAAGACACCUGAUUGUAUAGAUGAUAGAAUAUACUCUGAGCUGCCACCCACCUGUUGCGUACAUUUACCAGUCAUAGUUUAGUCAUAACAUCGAGAGGUUGUGCUUUCCGAACAAAACGAUAAACAUAGGUGAAUAAACAGAUUACUCGAUCAGAAAAACAAACAAACUCGGUUUUGUCACAAAAGAAGAUUUUUCAUGUAUAAUAUAGCAUUGAUUCUGUCAUAGUCACAAAAUAAAAAUUGAACUAUGUAGUUCUUUCAGUCCAUUCGACCUUUCA